UGGUUAUGGGCUCCCAAGUAGUGCCAUUAGUGGGUGGCGCCCAGGUGGUCGGUUGCCAAGUAGUGCCAUUUGUGACGGGUCCCCAGGUAGUGCCAUUGGUUAUGGGCUCCCAAGUAGUGCCAUUAGUGGGUGGUGCCCAGGUGGUCGGUUGCCAAGUAGUGCCAUUUGUGACGGGUCCCCAGGUAGUGCCGUUGGUAGGUGGUGCCCAG
rnacentral:lncRNA from 1 species